CGUGUAGGCGGUAUCAUAAGUCAGAUGUGAAAGUUCGGGGCUUAACCCCGGAAUUGCAUUUGAAACUAUGUAGCUAGAGUUCUGUAGAGGGGGGUAGAAUUCCAGGUGUAGCGGUGAAAUGCGUAGAGAUCUGGAGGAAUACCGAUUGCGAAGGCAGCCCCCUGGACAGUGACUGACGCUCAUAUGCGAAAGCGUGGGGAUCAAACAGGAUUAGAUACCCCCGUA
rnacentral:rRNA from 1 species